rnacentral:pre_miRNA from 1 species
ACUCUAGUAUUAACCUCAAUCCACAUGUAUUGAGGUGGAUUGGGGUAACUUAAACUAAUUUUAUAUCUCAAUCCAUCUCAACACAUGUGGAUUGGGGUUAAUACUAGA